UAUCAAUAAGCGGAGGAAAAGAAACCAACAGGGAUUGCCUCAGUAACGGCGAGUGAAGCGGCAACAGCUCAAAUUUGAAAUCUGGCUCUUUCAGGGUCCGAGUUGUAAUUUGUAGAAGAUGCUUCGGGUGUGGCUCCGGUCUAAGUUCCUUGGAACAGGACGUCAUAGAGGGUGAGAAUCCCGUAUGUGACUGGCUGCCUCCCCCAUGUGAAGCUCUUUCGACGAGUCGAGUUGUUUGGGAAUGCAGCUCAAAAUGGGUGGUAAAUUUCAUCUAAAGCUAAAUAUUGGCCAGAGACCGAUAGCGCACAAGUAGAGUGAUCGAAAGAUGAAAAGCACUUUGGAAAGAGAGUUAAACAGUACGUGAAAUUGUUGAAAGGGAAGCGCUUGCAAUCAGACUUGCGCGCGGUCGAUCAUCCGAUGUUCUCACCGGUGCACUCGACCGUGCUCAGGCCAGCAUCGGUUUCGGUGGUUGGAUAAAGGCCUUGGGAAUGUGGCUCUCUUCGGGGAGUGUUAUAGCCCUCGGUGCAAUGCAGCCUACCGGGACCGAGGACCGCGCUUCGGCUAGGAUGCUGGCGUAAUGGUUGUAAGCGACCCGUCUUGAAACACGGACCAAGGAGUCUAACAUCUAUGCGAGUGUUUGGGUGUCAAACCCAUACGCGUAAUGAAAGUGAACGGAGGUGAGAACCCUUAAGGGUGCAUCAUCGACCGAUCCUGAUGUCUUCGGAUGGAUUUGAGUAAGAGCAUAGCUGUUGGGACCCGAAAGAUGGUGAACUAUGCCUGAAUAGGGUGAAGCCAGAGGAAACUCUGGUGGAGGCUCGCAGCGGUUCUGACGUGCAAAUCGAUCGUCAAAUUUGGGUAUAGGGGCGAAAGACUAAUCGAACCAUCUAGUAGCUGGUUCCUGCCGAAGUUCCCC
rnacentral:rRNA from 1 species